rnacentral:rRNA from 1 species
GUGGGGAAUCUUAGACAAUGGGGGAAACCCUGAUCUAGCCAUGCCGCGUGAGCGAUGAAGGCCUUAGGGUUGUAAAGCUCUUUCAGCUGGGAAGAUAAUGACGGUACCAGCAGAAGAAGCCCCGGCUAACUCCGUGCCAGCAGCCGCGGUAAUACGGAGGGGGCUAGCGUUGUUCGGAAUUACUGGGCGUAAAGCGCGCGUAGGCGGACCAGAAAGUUGGAGGGGAAAUCCCAGGGCUCAACCUUGGAACUGCCUUCAAAACUCCUGGUCUGGAGUUCGAGAGAGGUGAGUGGAAUUCCGAGUGUAGAGGUGAAAUUCGUAGAUAUUCGGAGGAACACCAGUGGCGAAGGCGGCUCACUGGCUCGAUACUGACGCUGAGGUGCGAAAGCGUGGGGAGCAAACAGGAUUAGAUACCCCAGUAGUCC